AAUAUCUAUUUAUAGCGGUUCCCAAUUGUAGCAGCAAUUAUGUACCACAAAUACAUUUGUAAGUCAGAUGUUCAACCCUGAGGGUGCAUUUUUCUAUAAAAGCAAAGUCAUAAAUGGUGGCAAGUUUCCUGAGCUAGCCUACAUAAGCAGUAGGGCACCUCAAAUAUUGAUCUAUGGAAUCUAACACAUUUUUAGGUUGUGGGUGGGCAGGGGAAGGUAGAACAAGGUUAGCUGUGGGUCUAGGGUAUAAUAUUGAAAACCUCCCGGGAUGUAUUUCUCAGCCCCAAACUGGUUCUCCAGUCUCUUUAUUUUCUCUUUGCCCCCCCCCCAUAGAUUACCUUUCCAACACCCCACCCACUGCCAUCACUUGUUGCUUCUUCUGAUCAAGGUUUCUUCCACUUGCUGACUUACUGAAGAAAAGGAAUGUGAACUAAGAAACAUGGAAGGAAUUUGCCAGGUUGAGUUGGGAGAAGAAGCUGGAAGAGUCACCUUCACGAGAGUUGUGGUCUGUGCAAGCACAAGCAGCUGUCUCCUUGGAGCAGCGAGAUGGUGACCAGCAGUUUCAUGCUUCCCUCGUAACAGCAGAAGAAAUUCUCUUCCCCGCAGUUCAAAUCCAAAUUCCAGAACUGAGUAUAGUGGUGUUUUAGUUCAAUCAAUCACUGUGCCAUUCCUGAGUCACAUGUCUGUCCCCCUAAAACUAGUGGUCAAUUCAUCCCAUCUAAACAAUGUAGACUUAGUGGAGAAGGAGGAGUCACCUGAGGUAAAUAUGGGUUCAGUUACCCAAGUGAGGAAAUGUGGCCAUUUCCCAAGACAUUUUAAAAAUAUUUGUCCUUGGGCGCCUGGGUGGCUCAGUUGGUUAAGCGACUGCCUUCGGCUCAGGUCAUGAUCCUGGAGUCCCUGGAUCGAGUCCCGCAUCAGGCUACCGGCUCAGCAGGGAGUCUGCUUCUCCCUCUCCCACUUCCCCCUCUUGUGCUCUUUCUCUCUCUCACUCUCUCUCUCAAAUAAAUAAAUAAAAUCUUAAAAAAAAAAAUAUUUGUCCUU